UGGGGCCCUGACCCCUCCCCUCCUGACCGCCCCGGCGCGGUUCCCCUCCAGCUCCCUGGUCCCUCCCCGAAUUCCACACUUCCGGACACUGGCUCCCGGCCCCCGAAAGGAUCAGGCCAGGCCAACCUGCCCGCGAUCUGUCUCCACGAUCUGUUUGCCUUGCAAGGCUAGAUAAAGAGCUCCAGGCCCAGAGAAGCAGCAACAUCAGACACGCAGAUGACCUCAGAACCAGCUGCAUUGAAUAAUGACCCCCUGCCCUGGUGCCAACCAAUCAAUCAGUGGAGACCCCAACCCUGAAAGGACACACCUGGAAAGUUGCUUAAUAGUCUACGGAGCUUUUCUCCUGGGACUGUCCCUAAAGACGACACCCUUAAAACCCUUAGGAGGGAAGACCUAGCGGCUCUCCCAGGAGCAAGGCUGCACCUUGCCCUUCCCCAUUCUCCUCCCCAUCCCAUCAAGUGCAUCAUCUUGACCUUCCUUUGCCUCCAUAACUUGUUUCCUCAGCCCAUUUCUUCUACAAAUUACUUCUUUUACCUCUUUGAUUCUCUAAAUAAAUGUUCUCUUAUA